AACUUUGCAUAGUGGCAAUAUCGGAGUCAAUGAGGUUUAUCUGAGGCACAAUUAUUGCUAAUUGAAAACUUUUCCCCAAAGAUUUUCAGCUGUAAUGCAGACUGCAAACUAAAUGAAAUUGUCGGUGGAGUGUGGUCAGGAACAUU